UACGUAGGGUGCGAGCGUUAAUCGGAAUUACUGGGCGUAAAGCGUGCGCAGGCGGGCUUUUAAGCCAGACGUGAAAUCCCCGGGCUUAACCUGGGAAUGGCGUUUGGGGACUGGGAGUCUGGAGUGCGGCAGAGGAGACUGGAAUUCCUGGUGUAGCAGUGAAAUGCGUAGAUAUCAGGAGGAACACCGAUGGCGAAGGCAGGUCUCUGGGCUGACACUGACGCUCAUGCACGAAAGCGUGGGGAGCAA
rnacentral:rRNA from 1 species